rnacentral:rRNA from 1 species
GACGUAGGGGGCGAGCGUUGUCCGGAAUUACUGGGCGUAAAGCGCGUGUAGGCGGCUUGGCAAGUCGGGUGUGAAAGCCCUGGGCUCAACCUAGGAAGUGCACUCGAAACUGCCUCGCUUGAGUUCGGGAGAGAGAGACGGAAUUCCAGGUGUAGUGGUGAAAUACGUAGAUAUCUGGAGGAACACCAGUGGCGAAAGCGGCCUCCUGGACCAUUCCUGACACUCAGACGCGAAAGCUAGGGUAGCAAACGGG